rnacentral:snoRNA from 2 species
UCUUCCUCCCCAGAGUGUUACAGGUGUGGCUGCUGUGUCACAUGUGCAUCAGUAGGUGGCAGAGAGGACAUAGGCUAUGCUCUGAUCUGUGAACAUAUGAAUGGAUGAUUAGUAGCCUAACAUU